UGGAGAUCAAGCACAUCCAUACAAAGGGUGGCUGGUUGGGAUCGCAUCCUUUAAGCAGCAUAGUCACCCAUGAGCAGAUUUCAAGUCAACCAUGAAUGGUACAAGCUUGGCCAGGGACUUCAGGAAGUGGCUGGUAGGCUCUGCAAGGCUUGGGGGCAGGAGCACUGUGGCUUCCCAGGAAUGUCACAGGCAAACCAGUCACCAGCAAACCCUAGUGCACACAGUCUUUUAUUAGUUGUGAUUAAGGAGCUAUAGUAGUCCUGUUUACACAGCUCUAACAAGUCAGGACCUGCAGUACGUUAUUGGCUUGCGGCCCACAACUUGCCGUCCAUUCUCAACAGAAUCAAUCUGAAGUUGAAAACAUCCCCUGUAGGAAGCGUACACAUCCCUGCUCAUACAGGAACAGAAACAGUAAUAACUUCAGGUCCUGUAGGUUGCAAGUUCAACUUACAGAGAUCAGCCCUGACUUGUCAUUGCUCUCAGCAUGUUCGUGAUGAGAUCAGAGCACUUCACAAAGGACUCACACUUCCAGCUUGACAAGGGACAGAGGUGAGCGUGUUACACUUCCCUGUUACUCGCCACUCACUGCAGCAAUGAAUCGAGAGCUCCUCGCUGUUUAACAUGCAGUCAAAGCACUGCCAAUCUAAAAUGGCUGAUCAGUAAUACUUUAAUUGCAGUUUCAUAGAAACAAAUUGCUAUUUAAUUGCAAUAAGCUUGUCUGUGGCUUAGCUGGACUGACAAUAGGCAUCCACCUGGUAGUAACAGUAACAAGCAGCAACGAGGGUUAUCUGGUAAUGCACACACAGGAGGCUCUGGCAGAGCCAUCAGACCCGGAACACAUAAUUUCCCACUGAAUGAAUAUAAUGCUUAAAAAAAAAUUAUAUACAUAAAAUGUUCUAAUCUCAAUUUUAUCUGUUAUUUUAAUAGAGCUGUUCAGAAUGUAGAUCCUUGCAAAAAGCCUCACCCUUGACAUACAACUACCAGCCAAAUAAUUUGAUAAAAAAUUUAAAUUUAAAUGAUCUUUUGAAAUCACAGAAUCAGGUUGGAAAAGACCUCUGCGAUCAUCAAAUCCAGCCUAUGACCUAACACCACCACCAUGUCAACUAGACCAUGGCACUGAGUGCCACAUCCAGUCUUUCCUUAAAAUAUAUUAAGGGACAGUGACUCCACCCCCUUGAUAGCCAAGGCAUACUAUGCCAGUAUCUGAGUUGGUUGUUUGGCUUUUUUUUUUAGUAUUUACCCUAAUAUUAGAUGAUGCAAAUUUUAUCAGGGUUAACUAACAGGAAAAAAGGGAGACAAACUCAGUGUGGUUAAUAUUCUAAAGAUGUGACUUAAUUUCAUAGGCUUCAUUUUGGUAAGACAUUCUCAUUUUAUAUUUCAUAAGAUACUGCAUCACCUGUUAAAAUAUUUAAAGAUAAAUCAUGUAGGACUGAAAAGACAGUAUCUUGUUGCAAACAGAAUUUGGUUUGGAAAGGCUUAAUGUCCCACUGCCUGCCAGGAUGCGUAAAUCUCAUAACUAGACAGCUGGAUAGGUAAAAACAUUAAACCCAUUUAGAGGGCAAUCUUUUUACAAAAUUGUUUCAUUAAUAAGAGUGACAAUUUAUAUGAUUGAGACGUUUAGAUGCAGUAUAGACAGAGCAUUUUAUCCAGGUUCAGGAGGAUGAUUUCAGAUUAGUAGUAUUUCCUUUGAUUCUUUUUUUAACGUUCAUUUUUGAAAGCAAGAGAAGCUCUUACUGAAUGAUUAUUUGUAUGACUUUUCAGCAGCACUAAAUGCAGAGGGUGUAUUUCAGCCUCAGUGCAGCAAAUACACGUGAUAAAAGGUGAACAAGUACAUGUUUUUCUUUACAGAUCUCCUAAAAAAAAAGUGAUUUUUCACAUAAGGACAAAUCUAAGUGUUUCCAGUAGCCUUCUCUCCACACCUACUAUCCCCAUUAGAGCCUGUUUUAUUGUCUGAAAUGCCUCUGGUUUCAAGAAAGUGUUUUACCUAAAGCAAGAAUACUACUUAAAUAUGUUCUAUUGUAUAUUCAUAGCUCCAUUAGUCCUCCUCCAAUUUAGCACAUCAAAGCAAAGGCUUCAUCACUUGCAUGUGGAUUAUGCUAACAUGAGUGACAUUUGUAAUCUUAUACGUCUGCAACUUAAGAAAUGCUUUUAAAGUAAGCUAUUAAAUAGGUAGCUGUGCUUUACAAAUGAGUCAUAUAAUAGUUUAUUUAAAGCUGUUAACGAACUUCAACCUCUACAUCACUAAAUGCAAUACUACAUUACUUACUAGAAGUUAUUAGCUAUCUUCUUAGCACUUCUAGGUUAUAUUGGACAACCAAAAAUCUGUACAUGUUAGAUUUAAACACUGUACCUUGAGUGCUUAUAGUGAAAGAAUAGAAAAAGAUGUCUACAGUCAACUUGAAUUCUAUAUUCAUAUGACUUCAACUGUCUUUUCAAAGAUAUUGAAGCAGCACAAUUUGCAGGACUAGCUGAAGACCUUAAUGCCAGAUCAAAAAGCUUAGAAACUUAUUUAAAAUACACAUUAGGUGCAUUUAAUUAAAAAAGUCAGUCAAUCAUUUAUGUUGCGCUUUUUAUGUUACGCAAGUACUCUUUUGUCUGUACUGUCUGAUAUUGUACAUUACUGCAUUUUCUUUUCUCUGAAACAGUGCUUCUUCCUCAAGCACUGAAGUGUUAAAAGAAGAAAUUCAGCAGCCCACCAACAUACUAGAGGUCAUGAAGUAGAAUUUGAAACAAAAAUAUCUGCUGUCAGUUGUUUAGACAGACAAAUCUAUAUAUCAGCUUUUUUGUGUAUUGGCAUCACAACAAAAGUAAGUCAAGCUCACUCUGUAACCAAGCAUGCUGAGCAGUGAACAUCUUCUCAAAAGCAGAAUUAAAAAAGAUAACAUAAUGAUGUGUUCCAACUGUAUUAGUUUCCUAUAAAAGUAGAGUAGUUGUCAAUAUUGAUUUGCUAUUAAUUGCAGGAGAGGCACACUUGGUGCUUGCAGUUUCCUGACUGAAGGCAUACAAGGUACAGCCAUAGAUCCAUGUUAAGAUUCUUGCUAAAAACACGAAGUGUCAGAUUUUUUUUCCUCAAAAUUAUUCUGCACAGCUCUACCACCAAGCAGCUGAUGGGAAAAAACACAAAAAAUGAAGUUGGUCCCUUUCUAAGCUUAGAGGUGGCUUUGUUGCUUUGUGGGGAGGUGGUUUUUAUUUGUUUGCUUUCAGAGAACAGAUCAUAUUUGAGAUCAGCCAGUUCUCAGAAAUAGCCCAGGAAACAUGUUUUUCUUUCCUUAAGACUAUCAGUGUUGCAAAGUUAAGUCUCUUACCACAGCAAACACAACUUUAUGUUGUUCAGAUCAGAAUAGCUAUUGUACUCCUUUUUAUGAAUACUCAAUUCUAGUGCUCAGCAUGAGGUACAAACCUUUCUCUGGUUUUUAUUUUUUGACCUCUUAUGGUAUAUACAUACCCUCUCGUGCUUGCAUGCUCAGAGACAAAUGCACACCCUUAACACAAGUGAUUC